GACGAACGCUGGCGGCGUGCUUAACACAUGCAAGUCGAACGGAAAGGCCUCUUUCGGGGGGUACUCGAGUGGCGAACGGGUGAGUAACACGUGAGUAACCUGCCCUUGACUUUGGGAUAACUUCAGGAAACUGGGGCUAAUACCGGAUAGGAGCUCCUGCUGCAUGGUGGGGGUUGGAAAGUUUCGGCGGUUGGGGAUGGACUCGCGGCUUAUCAGCUUGUUGGUGGGGUAGUGGCUUACCAAGGCUUUGACGGGUAGCCGGCCUGAGAGGGUGACCGGCCACAUUGGGACUGAGAUACGGCCCAGACUCCUACGGGAGGCAGCAAUUGGGAAUAUUGCACAAUGGGUGGAAGCCUGAUGCAGCAACGCCGUGUGCGGGAUGACGGCCUUCGGGUUGUAAACCGCUUUCGCUCAUGACGAAGCUUUGUGUGACGGUAGUGGGUAAAGAAGCACCGGCUAACUACGUGC
rnacentral:rRNA from 1 species